GCUCCCGUAGUGUAGUCCGGCCAAUUUUACUCUUUAUGCAAGAAUAAUGGUCUCGCAUUGCGGGCCUUCACCCCGCCGACCCGGGUUCGAAUCCCGGCGGGAGCA
rnacentral:tRNA from 1 species